AACGAACGCUGGCGGCAUGCCUAACACAUGCAAGUCGAACGAGAUCUUCGGGUCUAGUGGCGCACGGUUGCGUAACGCGUGGGAACCUGCCCUUUGGUUCGGAAUAACAGUUGGAAACGACUGCUAAUACCGGAUGAUGAUGAAAGUCCAAAGAUUUAUCGCCAGAGGAUGAGCCCGCGUAGGAUUAGCUAGUUGGUGUGGUAAAGGCGCACCAAGGCGACGAUCCUUAGCUGGUCUGAGAGGAUGAUCAGCCACACUGGGACUGAGACACGGCCCAGACUCCUACGGGAGGCAGCAGUGGGGAAUAUUGGACAAUGGGCGAAAGCCUGAUCCAGCAAUGCCGCGUGAGUGAUGAAGGCCUUAGGGUUGUAAAGCUCUUUUACCCAGGAUGAUAAUGACAGUACCGGGAGAAUAAGCUCCGGCUAACUCCGUGCCAGCCGCCGCAGUAA
rnacentral:rRNA from 1 species